AAUCUUAUGGUCAAAAAAUGAUUUAAAAUUGCAAAUUUUAAGGUAAUAUAAAUUAUAUUUAAGGUUU
rnacentral:tRNA from 1 species